rnacentral:tRNA from 1 species
GCGGGUUGCGCUGGAAGGGUAACACGACGGUCUCAUAAGCCGUGAAUGCGGGUUCAAGUCCCGUACCCGCUA